AGCACACUCAAAGCUAUAUAUCUCUAUCUCUACUCUCUACUUCCUGUUUGCUUCUCAGCAUUUACUUUUAGUUUCUAUUACAUUUUCUUUUGCUUAAUUACUAUGGCUACUGUUGAGGUAACCCAUCAUUCAUUCUUUUCUUGUUAAGUUUUCAUUAGAUUCUUGAUUUUCAGUAUUAAUCUAAUUACUGGUCAGGUUUUUUGUUAUAAAAGAGAAUUUGAUAUUAAAGAUCAUUUAACGUAAUUUUUAGGUAGUAUCAGCACAGACUGCACUUGCAGAGGAAAAAGCAGAAGAAGUCAAGGUUCCAGAGGCAGCACCAGCAGCAGAGCAGCAAGUUGCUGAUGAAAAACCAAAAGAAGAGCCAAAGGAAGCAGAGAAAGUUGAGGUAUCUGAAGAACCUGUAGCACCACAGGCUGAAGCUCCUGCGGAAGCAGUGGUUGAAACUAAAGAGGUUUUAGAAGUUGAAGAGGCCAAGGAUGUGAAAGAAGAGCCAGCAGUAGAGAAAACAGCAGAAGAGGAGAGUCCCAAGGAAGAGGCACCUAAAGAGGAACCAGCACCAGAGACCGUUGUUGAGGAGGCUCCCAAGGAAGAGACUCCCAAAGAGGAACCCGCACCCGAGCCUGCAACUAAGGGAGAAGCACCGGCACCAGAAAUUCCAGCUGAAGCUCCAAAGGAGGAAGAAGGUGGUGAUGAAAAGAAGUCGGAAGCAGCAGAAGUUGCAGUUGAGAAGACUGAGUAAAGAGUCCAAGGGUGUGGUUUUCUUGAAAGUUUGUGUAUUGGGUAAGCUAGGGGUUUGGUUCUUGCAUGCCAUUCUGUAAUGUUCCUAUCAUAGCUAGCUUGUGGUUGAAUAAGAGUAUAAUUACUUGUUAGGGUAAUGGGUCUGGGUAUGGGAAUGUCCCACUUGGGUUGAACCCAAUGAGAAGUCACCACAUGGCAGACAUGCAUUUGCUACAGCGGGAAAUGUUUUGGAUACUCGAUUGUAACAUGUGGCAGCUAGCAUGUGUGCCUGUUUGGUUCCCGGCAGUAUGAGUUUUAGAUAUACUAUGGUCGUUGAUGCUUGUAAUAAAAAAAUUGUAAUGUAUGAUGCUACUUUGUUUAAUAAUUUGCAGUACUUUGGAUUAAAACUUGUUAAUAAUUAUAUAAAAUCCCUUUUGUAAUGGAAAUUUCCCAUAUACACAGAGCUAGCCCUGAAGGAUAUGAAUCAAUUAAUUCAAGUGUUGUAAAGUUUCCUGGAAAAUUGCUUGACCUAUAAAUAGAAAAG
rnacentral:misc_RNA from 1 species